CUGGGCACCAUCUGAAAAAGAACUGAACAUAAUGCUCAAAUCUCAGAAUGACUUGUUCUUUCUUACACAGUAACAUUUUAAACAAAUAAUUCCAACUACCAAGAAGGUCUUUUUAAUUUUUUUUUCCAUUCAGGUGUUAUACUCAUUUGUAAAGCUACCAUCCUGCCCUAUACUCUUCCUCCUUUAUUUUUACCUCCACGAUUUUCUCUAGAACGGGUUUUAUGGAUUGACACCCAACUGGUGUAACAUUUCUCAGCUGUACUGUUUGCUCCAAGGACUUUAAGCUGCUUUUUAGGUUUUCAGAACAAGAUUGUGCCAGCUUCAGGAAAUGGUUUUUGAAUUUCUCCAUAUUUGUUACAGACAACUUAAAUGCUAUGCAGCUGGUUUGAGCCUUAUCUUCUUGGUGAUUUUUGGAAGGUAAAUCAUUUGGGCUCAUGAGGAACAGAGGAGCCAAACCACUAUUGAGAAGAUUGCUGUUCACCAUUUUGACAACCACACAAGCCACAGAUGAUACUCUCAGAACUUAGAGACCAAGAAAGUCAAAGAAGAAAGGGACUGAAGAAUGUCAAGGAAAUGACCUAGCACUACAAGCCAUAAAGUAAUGACAGUUUCAAGGGGAAGAAUAGAGAGAAAGAGGAAUCAUGUGGAGAGGAAGAAGGUGGGGAGUUAAGGAGAGAAUUUGGUUAUAGCCAACAGGAAUAGAUCUGACAACUGAAAUUCUUAUGGGUAAAGGCAUUGUGGACAAAUACAAACUCACACACAAUGGGUUCCAAAAUAAUUUAUUUCUGCCCUGCAUUAGAAGAUGGGUGUCUGCUCAACCUAGAUGAGGCUCAACAAUAUCUCAGAGGUAUCUCUACAAGUUAGACAACAAUCAUUCAUUCCAUUUCAGAGAAGGGAAAAAUGAGUCACAGGUAAGUAACUUGCAUGCUCAAAAUAACAUGGCUAGAAAGUGGAUGAGCCAGAGAAUAGCACUAGUGUUUAAACUAUCUACGUGUCUUAAUUAGUUAUUUCUUUUCUUUUAAAGGAUUUUAUAAAAAGAUGUAAAGAGAAUGGUAAUUGUGGCAGCCUUUUUCAACUUCGUGUUGCAAUUGGAUGUCUAUAUUUUCUUAACUGAAGGAGAACAUCAACUUUUAGCAUAAUUUCCUUGCCAGUCUUUACUUGGCCCCUGAGCCUCCCUUUGCACAGCACAUCCAACUUUGCCUGCAUUACCUUUUCUCCAUUUGUACCUCUACUAAGGCGGCAGAUAAAAAAAAAUAAAAAAUAAAACAGGAAUCCUUGCUUAUUUGUACAACCCAGUUGGCAUCUUUUUUCAGUUUCCACUCAAUAAAUAUUUUUCAAACUAAUGGAGUCCAACUCCUUCAACUGCAGAGUCCAACUCCUAAUGAUUGACUUUGUUUUGUGCUGCUUAUGACAGGCUAAGGAUAUUUACCUGUAUGACUACCAGACUACCCAUGUCUCCAAGUCAGGCAGGAUGACCCAUUCUAGAGUAUGUUUAUGAUGGAGACCUGGCUCUACGAAAUGCAUUCAGAAGCAUGAAGUCUUCCAGGAUGUUUAGUAUUU
rnacentral:lncRNA from 1 species